rnacentral:tRNA from 1 species
UCCAGCGUGGCACAGUGGUUUGAGCAUUGGACUUCAACUCUGGAGACCAGGGUUCAAAUCCCAGCUCGGGCC